AAUGAUGCAACCUCAUCUCCAGCCUUGACAUCCAACUUCUGAGGUAAACGGCACGCACCGAUAAGUGAUUUUGUAGGAGUUUUGUAUUUGUUAGAAAGUAGUCCUGAAGCUUUGCUGGUGUGUUCACAUCUGCUGUAUGGGUGACAAUAAAACAGUCUCUUCUGUUGAUGCCUUUCAGAUAUCCAUGGACAGCUUUUUUACCACCGUUUACAAGCCAAGCAGCUGCUUCCGACUAGGAAGGCUAGGACUAGAUUAGAGACAACAGAGCUGCUGGAGAUACCCCCGGCAGCUUGUCCGGGAUCCUCUCUUCUGAUACUGGUGGUACAGAGAGACAAAGUUACAAAUGAUCUGGUUUCUAUUCAUCAGUUAAGAAAUGCACUUCCCUGUCUUGUGUAUAGAUCCACCCCUACAUGACUAGCAUAUCCCUGCUUGGCAUAAACCAAAACUUAAACUAAGUUUAGAGACAACAGAGCUGCAAGUAAUGCAAGUUGUUGACAUGGAAGUUAAAGUAAAUGUGUAGAAGGUGGUAAAUAAAACUUUGAAGGGAAAAGAAAAGGGAAAGUAAACAUGAAAAAGCUAACGUAUUAUGUUUAAAGCUACGUACGCAUGUUAGCUACUGAGCUAGAAUGAUUUUCAUUUUGUUCAUCAUUUACCUCCUGCUAACUUGUUUGUUGACUGUUUUGUGAUAUCAUAGGUCAACUGGAAAAAAAGCUAAUUUGAUUUUAACGGGUUUAGAGUUUGAGAAUGUUGUGUGCUAUGCUGUUUUUUUGUUUUUUUCUACUACAUUAAAUGAUUGGCUGCAGCCAGCAUGUUUCCAUGACUGCUCAAGGUGAAUUCCUUCCAAAGGACAAGAGAAAUCUAUCUUAUCUAAUGUAAUGAAAUGUAAUGUAAUCUCAUUUUAUCUCAUGAAUUGUACUGUAAUGUAACCUCUUCUCAUCUACCAUAACCUCAUCUCAUUUUACGUCCUGCAAUCUCAUCUCGUCUAAUCUUCUCUCAUCUGAUUUUAUAUCAUUUUAUGUAAUGUAAUUUCAUCCCAUUCCAUUUCAUCUCGUCUAUUGUAAUGCAAUGCAAUCUCAUUUAAUCUCAUCUCAUUGAAUCUAAUCUCAUCUCAUACUAGGUUUUACGACUGCCUAAAACACUAAAGCAGGUGUCUCCCCCAACCUCCUGAUUGUCCUUAUUAUUAUCAUCCCUCUUUCUUUCUAAUCACCGAGCUGUUAAAAUACUUGACUGUAAUUGGUCGGAACCCUCUAAUAGUGGUUAUUAACUCUGAAUAGCUUGAGCAACACCAUUGACGACCCACACGCACGUUGUUCUGUUUUGUGUAAUACUCAGGGAUGAAGGGAACAGCGACAAAAUACAUGGGAUAACAAUGAACGGACGGUGGAAAUGACGACCUUAAAAACAAUCCAAAGAGUUUCAGAGAUCACAAUGACAAACAAGAAUCAAUCUUCAAUCAGAAGCAACUUAAUAAAGGAGGAGUGGCUGUUCUUAGGGUUAGGGUUAAAAGACAAGACCAGAAAAACAAAAAAUAUAUAGUUCAAGCUUUCACCUCCACACACCGUCACUUCUGACCAAACUGCUCCGCUGCUCCGUCUCUCUCUCUCUUCCCUCUGCCAUGGUAUCAGCUGAUUGACUACACUUGAAGCUACUUCCUAAUCAAGAUCUACAGAAUGAAGAGCUGCAGAGGAAGAAGAAAGAGUGAGGGAGAAAGAACAGCACAGCACAAACUGACCGCUACCAAGUGUAGAAAGUAUUAAAGGCACAUCCACAUGACAUUUGCUUUUGAAGCUGAACCACCACCGAAGACAAAUGCAAAGAGUAAAUAAUAUAUGGAGAGCCCGAUAAAGUACCUCCAACAAAACCAUUUCAGAGUUGUGACUCACAUUAAUGGUUCAAGCCAACCUGAACCAGUUUGGUACACGAGUGAAACAAGCCUUCAAAUGUGAGGGAAAGGAAAGGUAACACCACGUAACCGUCAACUACGGUCAAACAGCUGACCAUCAGGAGGUAUGACGUGACAUGACAUCAGUACAUUUACAUAUUCAAAAAGUUGAUUUAUUGCAUCAUUUCAACUGAAUUCACACUUUGAAAAAACAACAAACACAUCAGUCUGAAUGAAAUCGCACUUCUCGUAAAUGUUGCACUUCUCAUAGUCAGACUAACGAAACCUAGCUAAUGCAGAUGGGGAUUCAUUUUCUCUCACAUGUCCAUCAGAUUAAAACCGACAAACUUGGCUGUAUUUAACCGCAUUGAGAGGCCAAUAGUUUCAAACUGCACCACUCAUACCAUCCAAGUGAAGUGAUCGGAGCAGCUGGGAAUAAUGAGGCCUCGCUCUCAUUGGUCCUUUAAAUGUUGUCAGAGUGGGGAGGGUGCAGUCUAGUAAACACAAAUGCAAAUGUAAAACAGACGGAGGAUGGAGUAUAUACGUUCAAGGUAUAAUGUUUUUUUCACUUUAUGGGACAUUUGCAGUUUGACAGUUUUAUAGAAUGGAAAAUAAUAAUAUUAUUCAAUAAAUAUUUCUAAAAGUAAAAAUCGAGAAAGUGUUGCCUUAAACUUUUACUCUGUUACUUCAUGCAAGUAAAUCUAUAAAUAUAUAUUUUUCAGUGCAAAAGUCAGACUGGACAGUAAGCCGCACACAAAGGGUUAAAUCUGCAAACUCUAACAGUAAAAAGGCCUUCCCUGCUGCAUGGUUAUGGUAGCAUUGUACCCUCUGGGCCAAUCCCAGAAGGAUAUUUUAAGUGGUCAUAAAUAAGUCUAACCUUGCCUGCAAAUCAGCUCUUUAAAUGUAAUCUAAGGCCUCUCUGAUGGGCUAAUUCUGUCCUGAAUUUCUUUCUGUAUUUAUAGCACUGUUAGUGUGUUGGCUGCACCGUCUCUUUCACAUGGGUUAGGGCCAAAGUCAGACGAGCUCACGUUUGUUACUCACUGUAGCUGCGGGGAAAGUCACCUGAUGCCCGGCGAUGCUGGAGAACAGAGACUCUCUGGUCAUAAAAUGGCCCAUAAACACAGAAACAAUCAAGAGAGGACCAGGCUGGCAUGUGUGUAGAGAAUAGACUGUGUGUGUGUGUGUGUGUGUGUGUGAGUGUGUGAGUGAGUGAGGGCCAGGUGGAACAUAAUUGCCCAGCUCCCUGCCUGAAAUUCACUAAAGCUAAACGCUAACUCUGCACUGAGCCAAACCUUCUUUAUUAACAAGGAACAUUGCACCUCUAUCCAGUUAAUGAAAUAUUGAUUUGGAAAUUGUAUUGUAAGACGACGGAAAGCUUUUAAAGCGCUUAGUGCCUUUGCUCAGAGCCAACUUCAUCAAUUAUGAUUUUUUCUUGGUUUUCUUGGAGAAAGCUCCAAAAGCAGAACUCGCCGUGCCCUGUGUUCAUGAUUAGUGUCAUGUGUGUGUACCACGGGAACUUCAUGCCCCUGAAUAGUUUAAUGUUUUUUUAAUGAAAGAUGCCCGCAUCAGACCGAGUUUUCUAAUGACGACGACAGUAGCAGAUUUAAUGAUGUGUUUGUUCCCAUCCAGUCGAGCUUUUAAAAAGAGGGAUAAAAAAAAAAAAAGAUGAGAAUUGGUCACAUUUCCAAAUGUAGUUCACAAUCAGUGACUCGCUUUAAUGGGAUUGUGUGUCUCUGGCGUCCGAGCUGGGCCAAUUUUGAGGACAUCAUGAAUCAGAAACGACAAAAUUUGUAUGUGUCUGCACUGUAGUCAGCAUCUGAACAGUACUGAUAAGAAACUAAUCCAAACCAAAUGGAAACCACUCGGUGCCUGAAUCUGGUUAUUUUGGUAUCUGUGUUGAACAGCAGACUUUGGUAAACCUCAGGAUUAAAACUGUGUGAUAAAAGUAACAGUCACUGCAGGGAAUUAAGAGCCUAAAACCUCGUCUGUUCAAACAAACCUUUUUCCAUUCAGCGUAUCAGGCUGGAGGCAGAAAUUCAGAUACAAAUGCUGAUACCUGUCCUUCGCCAAGAAUGUUUUUAAUGAAAACUUACAGCGACCAAACAAAACAACGAGCACGCCACACAUGUUAGGUGUUUCUAGGUGAUGUUAUGACAGUCAAACAAAUCAAUAGAUCUCCAUAAAGAGGCCCACUGUGAGGUGCCAGGAGUUAUCUUAGGGUCACACUCUCGUGACUCUUGAGUUUACAUACACGUCUGACAUAGGUCUAAAAAUGCCACAAACUCUGUGUCAUGACAAAGUUGCACUCAGACAGGCUGUAUCCCGUUGCAUGUGUUAAAAAAGGAUCUGUGUGGUCUGAAGGGUGCAUGCAGAAAUUGAAUUAAGUGGUAAUUGGAGCACUUAGGGCUGUGACCCCCAAACUUGGAGAGUGGCUCCAGCAUAUUUCUCGAGCAACAUCUAAAAUCUCCAUCAAGGAGACUGCAGUCCUAUAAAACAGUCUGGGUCUCUCAGGCCUCUGGUAGAGGACCAAAGCUUGAAGCAGACAUAAAACUAGCCAAGGAGCGAGGGUGCAAGGAAUUUCUUUUACAGUACAUGCCAACAAGUCUUUGGCCUUUAAAAGUCCAAUAGUGGGUGAAAUGAUCCUUUAAAGUAGAUAAAAAGACACCACAUUCAAUUCAACUCCACUUGUGAAGCACAUUUCAUAAAAUAACACAACAUAAAUCCACCUUGCUACGCACCUACGCACCUGGAUUAAGUGUUUAAAAUUUAAUCCGGUGAGAAAAACGGUGGAUUAAGACAAGCUUGUUCUUUAUGUUGAUGGCAGAUCUGGAGAUGAACCCUCCCGUCAUCUGUCUCAUAUGCUAAUACCUACUUCUCACAGGUACUCUGAAUGGUUUUAGUAUUCACCAAGGCUUCACUUAGCGUAUUAAACAGCUGAAUGUCCUGUGAUGAGAGGAUCUGUAGACAAAUGAAGCAGGUAUGACGUGCAUCAAAACUCUGAUAUUAUGCCCGUCAGGAGUUUGUGAAACCAGCUGAAAUCUGAUGGGAAACAAAGACUGUAAUCCAAUGUAAACAAAUGCUAAAUGAAUCCACCCCAGGCUCUAAAUGUUGCAGUUUACAUGACUACAGGAGGUGCAGACUGGCGCCUGGGCAGCUGUCCAUUCAUUGGCUAUGCUGUAGUGGCUCGGGGCUGCGGAGUGUGUAUUAGCAGGAGGUCAUCACGGUUUAUUACACACUCUCCAUCAGAGCCGUUUCCAUUCAGCCGGCCUGUAACAUACGUCCGGACUAAUCAGCACUGCGGACAGCACCUCUCACACUUCGCUCGGCUCCAGCACCGCUUCACACGAUUGAAAUGCACGACGCCAUUCACACUCCAGCGCUCUCCGUCCAGCCUUUGUUUUCACACCAUGCCCCGGUGGUCCCUCACCAUUUAUUUACCAGCGCAACACAAGUGAUAACCUUAUUUUGUCCAUGCAGGGAUGUUUGUUUCUUUGAAGAUUUUGAGUGAGCAAAUACAUGCAACAAAAAUGCAACAAAAGUGGUGAGGUUCCACGUGUUUUCCAUCACAUUUGAUCUCUAAGGUGACAUUUAAGCUCUGAGUACAUCAUUAAACGGCUAAACUGUGAAUUGCUUAUGUUGCAGUUGGUCUAAGUGUUCAUUUUUACAUCUGCAAUCUAAUUCACAUUGGCAUCUAUGACUUUACCCAUGAGAUGGAUAAUGAUCAUUUAAUGUUAGGGCUCCAACAUCACGACUACCACCCCUCUUUAGGUGCCAUUGCAGUUUACACUUAUGGGGUUUGCAGCACUAAUGUUCAGCCUAAAUAGUCUAUCCUGUGUCUUAAAACAUAAUGGGAUUGCAAGGUAAAGAAGCCAGGAGGCCAUUAUGAAUAUUUAAUUCAAAAAUCUAGGUGGGUUUUCAUGGACUUCAGUUUCCCUGUUUUAUUGGGUUUUAAUUAUCUUGCGUUUGCGUUUGUGAAUGAAAUCUCACACCGACUGCAGACCUAUUCAAGUCUGUGUUGACAAGCAGGAUGCAGGUUUUCCAUUAGGCAUGGUGCUGCAAGUUGAUCUCCUACAAAGACCCUGUUCAGGCCAGUGUCACAAUGAUGUCACGGUUUAAGCUUAAAGGGAUAUUCCGGCGUAAAAUUUAUUUACGGUCAUAACACUGAGUUAGACAGCCCCUCGAAAGACGAAUGUUGCCAACCGCUUGAAUGUUUGUAGCGAGACCUCGGGCCAGUCUAUUAUGGACUGCUGCGGGGUGACGCAGCUCAAGGAAGAACAUUUAUGAUCAUUUCUUUAAAGUAAUAAUCACCAUUUUAAUCAUUUUGCGCUGCAGACGCGGUAGUUCUUCUGCCUUAGUAUCUCAGUCUGAUUGCAUUUCCAUGAAGAAAUGAUUAUAAAUGUUCUUCCUUGAGCUGCGUCACCCCGCUGUAGUCCGUAAUGGACUGGCCUGAGGUCUCGCUACAAACAAGCGGCUGCUGGAAGAGAGUAGGUGAGUUGUGUUUAGCCUCUUUGCUAAAGAAAUCAGACAAAGUUAAAAAGAUGUUUGGUGGCCAGUGCUGUGGCUGGGACCCUAUAUGUCCUGUUGAUGAAGUUAGGUGCUGUUCUGAGCAUUAUUUGUGGGUAUAGUUAUAGUUAUAGUUAUAGUUAUAAUGGCGUUUGAGUUGAGGUUUGUUUAUGGCUCCUCAGACCGCUGUGUAUUACUAUCCUGCGGUCGUUACUAAUGUUGGUUUAACUACAGAAGCAAGCGGUCAGCAGCAUUCAUCUCUGGAGAUGUGUCUAACUCGGUGUUGCGGUGUGUUUUACCCGAUAAUAAGUAAGCAUAGGUCUUCAGUAAUGCUCAUUUAGGUUGUACUCGGGCUAUGCUGUCAUUUGACUACUAUAAUGCUGGUCUGUGAGAGUAGUCUUUGAGAAACAUGAUUAUAAAGGACUCAGGCUGGUUCUGAACAUCAGGCCUGCAAAUACCGAGCCAGGAAUGGAUGAAUAAUGAUGUCCUUGACUUGUGAGUCAUGCAAAUAAUCUCUAAAGCAGUAAAAAUACAGCCUUGGAAAUGAGCACAAUGGACCCGUUUAAGUUAUGCCAUCGCACAGUUUGAACAGAUGAUGAUUUUGAGGAUGCUUUGACACCUAAAGAAAGAUCAAAUUCAGAUAAUCCUUCCAAUAAUACCAGCCUGUUCUUUGAUUCUGCACUAUGACAGCUCAUUAGUGCACAGCUACUAAGAAGCUUGACCCCUCUGAGACCCCCUUCAGUUUCAAUGGAAGAUGAAAAUAUGCAUUAUUUCUGCGUCUAUUUCCAGUUAUCUGCAGUUGUGCGAUGGGAGAAAUUAGUCCAGAUGUUCCUGCAAACCCUCUGAUUCAGUCAUCCCUUGGCAGCUCUGCAGGCUGAGUGCAUCUCCUCAUCUUCAGGACCACCACAGAUCCUCUGGAUGUUCUCUUCUGGAGGCCCCGGUGCAGGACCAGAUGUCGUUGUUGUGCUGCUUCUCGGGAGUCAUUCACAUUUCCAUUAAUCAUUAUUCAAACAUCUCUCCUCCGCCUCCCCCGCUAACCAACCCAGCAUAUGGGCCGCCAUGUCUGCCACUGUGCCCACAACAAACGCGUCACCCGGCCCGUGGUUCAUCAAGGUCCCCCAUGAUGAAACAGCCUGAGCCGCUGAUCUCCCACUAAUUUAAAGAUAACUAUCACCUGUUCUCCGUGUGCCGCACCACACUCUGGAUGGUUUGUGAGUAAUUGGCCUGUGCCUUUUGCUUGAUUAAUUUGAUUGCUACAUUUUUCACUGUCCCCUCUCUGGUGAUUGCUCCGGCACUACAGGUGCUGGGUUUCAUUAAUUAUAUCCUUAAUUGGUUUGGAAAUGUUGAACGCAAGUUUGUUUUGGGGGAAGGUGGCAGUUUGUUUCGAGCGGCAAAACAUCUCAGCGUGUUUCUCCCACUUAAAAAGAUAAAUGAACCUCAUCUUUUCAGCAGAUUGUGGCGAAGAUGCAGGAGGUAACGAAACUCAAGGACAACAAGCUGCUGAGGCUGUUGGGUAUAAGACGGAGAAGUCUGGAGACUGAUAUGCACACUUGUCGACAUGUUCCCUCGGUGAAAUGUUUGAUUAAGAGUCUGACUAAGAUUUUACAAAAUAACAAGUCCAAGAAACAAGAGAAUAAAUCUGGUUUUAAGAUUUGAAAGUACUGUAGAUGUGGUUUGUUUUGGAGAAUCUACCGUUGAAUGCUUUGACAGACCUGAAAGAAGCUGUACAACUUCAAACGCCCCGAAUUUAUAGAGUCUAAGAACGUUAAACAAAGUAUCGCCACCAACCUAUAUCCUGUGGCAUGAUCCUUUUCAGGCUGUCAGCAUUAACUUGCUAAUUGGAACCUCAUUACGUUCCACAAUCAAUACCUUAAUUGUUUAAUUUUCCUUUUGCCACACCGUCAAUCACGGCUACACCUGCGAUGGAAAAUAACAACAUCUGCGCUCUUGAAUGAUGCAUUUCACAUGUGCACUUGGAGUCAAGUGGAAUGAAACUAUAACCAAAGUGCUUUAAGCCUGAGCUGCCAUCCAUGAGCUAAGCAUGCUGUUACGGCCAAUUACACCGAUGUCAAUGGGCAAGCUCUUUAAGAAAACUAGCACAGCACUAUUUUGAGCAUGCAUGAAACUAAACUGCAGGAGUGAACUGCAGCACAGUCCUGAGUCUUUAACACUGUGGAAGACCCUGUCUCCCUCCUGUUCUUUGUGUUUUGUUCCUUGUGUCAGUUUUCAGUGUUUCCUGUUUUAUUUUGUAGGAGUUGAUUCCUUGUGUUUCUGGUCUGGUUUUACUUCCCUAGUUUUCCCUCCAUUGUUAAUCACCAUGAUAAAUCUCACCUGUGCCUCGUUUGCCUCACCUGUUGCUCGUUUCCCUGUGUGUAUAUAUAGUCCCUGUCUUCCCCUGUUUCUUUGUUGGUUCAUUGUAUGUCGAUGUGAAUGCUUGUCUGUGUAGUCUAUGUGUGAAUCCUUAGUCUCCUUGGGUUUUUUUUUUUUCCCUGGGCCUUUAGUUGGAUUUUGCCUUGGGAUUUAUUUUAGUGGACAUUUUGAAUGAAGUUUUUGUUGCUUUUCAUUUAGUUCCUUUUAAAUAAAUCCUUCUUUGCUCUGAAAUUGGGUCCUUUUUCCCGUUGUUCAACUCUGCCCCUUAACAGACGGGGGAUAAAAUGGUACAUUUUAAAGCAUAUUUUUUAAGCAAGCUGACCUCAUAAGAUGUGAUUAAAAACAACAUAGACAAAAUUAAAAGUCCUCCUCUAAAGGAUACAGUGGUCUGUGGAGCCCUCGGGUGAUUCAGGUGCAGCAUAUUGUGAAGCCUGAUCAGCCAUAGUCUUCUCCCAAAUCAGGACACAAUUAAGAACUGCUCAACCUUUUUUUUCAAUAUGGACUUAAAAACUGUUUUCAAAUGCAAAACAUGGUGAUUUCUAAACUCAAUUAAGAAUGUGAUUGAAUAUGUAGUUAAUAUAGAGCUCUGCAAACUGUUCGCACAUGCUCUUGAUGUCCUCAGACAAAUAGUCAUGUGUGAUUUGGAGGCCAAUAACAAUGGUGGACUACUAAGCUGUGUUUGUGCCGGAGACCAUACUGACAUUACCAAAGCUGCUCCAGCAAAUUGUAGAUCUAUGUGUUUUUCAAUAUGCAUUAAUAUGACAUUGGGGCCGACCACAUAAGACCUCAGGAGUAGGAACAUUUUCACUGCUCUAACGUACACUUGAAACAGAUCCUCAUUGGGUGAACACAUUUACAAUAAAACAAUCAUAUCACUUUAACCACGGAGGCCAAACAAAGUAUCUGACCCCUUUGAUUUCAUCUGGCAGACGGCACCACACCAUCUUAACCUGACGCUCACUCAGCUGUGUUUGUGCUGAAAAAAGGUGUAGACACAAUCCCGCUCACUAUGAAAAGCAACCACGUGUGAGAAAAGACGAUGACCGCAACAGGCUGAGAUGAGGAUUGAUUUUUCUGACACUGCGGUGGUGAUCAACAUGUAAGACAUACAACAUAGACAGGCUGUAAACACACAGCUCUGGUUAUACAGGAUGUACGGGGGCUGUUUACUCUGAGGUGCAUUUUAGUGUUAAAGCUUCAGGGCAGUAAAGGUUUAUGUCUGGUUUAAUUGCAUGGCAGUAUUCUGCUUAUUCUAGCAGACAUGUGGAGCAUCUCAACAAGGGAGUUUACCCUGAUCAAACCUGUCUGCAGGUCUCUACUUCAGCCUGACCCUCUAAUUCAAAGAGGUUUUUCUAAAUUUCUUUCUUUUUAAUCCCCAUUUUUUCAUGUCUCCAUUGUUCCCUUUCAUUGUUUCAUUUCAAACCCGAACACAAGGUGAUAAAAAUUGGAUUUUUUGUUUUGUUUGUCGUUUGAUAUAUAAACCAAAGCUGCUAAGUUACACACUGCCUGCUGUAAAAACCAAGCUCAACACUACAACUUUGAAAAGUCUGCAUCGAGAUCCGUGGACUAAUGGUUUGAAGUACAUAUUUUUUUGGUCAGAGAUGAUAUUUGGAAAGAUACACACACAAAAACAUAUUGAUUGAUUAUAUUUUGGUUGGAUGGCUCCAGUAAAAAAUUCUCAUCGGCAGAUUUGUGAAAAAUGUAGAAAAUGAAACUACAACAACCCGCAAGGCUGAAUGAUUUGAAAAAGUGGCUAUCAGUACAUGAUGUCAAGCAUCUGAGCUGAAAUAUUAAAAAGUUUUUACUCAGGAUAUUUUGUGUACUUUUUAUAAAAUCUUUGGCUGGAAGAGAGUUUGAGGAAUUGUUGCUGUAACUCUGUUGCUCUCUGAUAAGUCAUCAUCCAUUACUCACGACGUCGAGAGCUCAUUUUUUUCUUUUUCACCGGCUAUGUGACUGGAAAAAAAAUGAGUUUAUAUCUAAGACCAGAUCUUUGAGUUGCAGAUAAACCGAUGUAUGUGAUUUCUUUAAUAAGCAACGUCAAUUUCAUCAGUUUCCAGAUAAUCACACUCUAACAGUGCACUGUUAUGUUUAUGCAUUUGGGUGUUAACACAGUACAGAAGAUCUGAAGUAUGUGAAACAGGCUGAGGGUUGUGUUGCAGCUUAAGAGAAGAGCGAGUUGUCCUUACUUUUACUUCUUGGAAGCUCCAUCUGUGUGUGUGGUAACCCCAACCUGGAUUGAUGCACCCUUCCCCCACACCAGAAAGUGGAUGGUCCAGGAUUGAUUCAUCUGAGAGCUCACAAAGCGCUCUGGGCUGCUGGGGAAACCUGUACUCCUCAUCUGCACCACACACUCUCUCCACACACACUCACAGGUAUGCACAUACACACUCCACCUGCAGCAUCUUAGCUCCUCUUAAUCAUGUAAUGUGCUCUGUGUCUACACCUGGAUCCUCUGCAGGCUGAUCUUAGUAAUGGAUCUGCAGCUCUCCAACACUUGACCCUGAGUGUAAGUCUGUGUGUGUGAAAAUGGCCAUUUGUCUGGUCUGGCCUGCACUGUCACCUGGUUUGCUCUCAGGAGAGCCCGGUGCAAGCAAUUUGCUCCCUCACACACACACACACACACACUCACUAUACAGAUGCAGCUGUUGUUUACUACCCACACUCUCCAGAGUCAACUUCAUCACAGAAGCACCUGAGCAACUUUGUUUCUGUUUCAGGAGCUGGAAGGAUGAGUCGGGGCAGUUUUUGUUCCUUCUUUUUUGUAAUUCUGUCUGGUUUGUCCAGGUGACAACUGCAAUAAUCACUCGUCUGAAAUACUCAGUGGGAAUUGAUGUCAAACAUGUCCUUUCUCUGUAGUGCUUGGUGAUUCACCCUCUCAAAUGGAGUCCCUCAGGGGUCUGUCUUGGGUCCCCUCUUAUUCAAUGUACAUGAAACUCCUGAGUAGGCAAAGUGUAAACUUUCGCCAUGAUGCAGAUGACACUCAGGUUUAUGCCCUGUCACAACCUGACACCACCGAUGUGUCUCACAUUAUGACUCGCCUGACUGAAUUAAACAUCUGAAAAUCUUCUGCAGCUGAGAGACUCCAUAUCUAAAGUAAUUGUCAUUCCUGCUACAUUAAUAAUCCGUCCUGUAAUGCAACUUAUUCUGGCAUCAGUGAGCACGAUGUACAGAGACUACAAUUUACUUAAAAUGCUGCUGCCCAAUUUUUAACACCAAAUAAGAAAAGAAACCCGUACAGGCUUCCUGCACCCUAUAUCUAUGAGCUGCUAACUACCUAUAAGGUCCUCUAGCAGGGUCCUUCUCAUGGUUCCUAAAUCUAGACUACAGUCAUAACUGGCGACUGAGCAUUUUCGCAUGUGCCCGGAGGCUCAUAACGCGUUGAUCUGACUGUUUUUCAUACCAAUGUGAAUUUGUUAGUGUGCGUUUUUAGCUGCUACAUUCGUAAAGACACGUGUUAAAGCUUCUGUCUGCAUAAAUGAGGGUAAGAUUCAUGGUUAGUCCCUGUGGCCCAGUGCAUAAUAAAUGAUGAUAUAACAAAGAGAGCAAUAUAUGACCAGGCUCCAUUUAUCUUGCAGCAAAGCAAAGUAAUUUUCUGUCUUUUGAUGUGCCUGAAAACACUGCACGCUCUUUCUUUUGAACUUCGAUGGGAGCAAUUAGAGUCCUCGAAGCUCAGAGAACAGAAAUGAAAGUCAAACAGCGAAGGCCUGCUUGUUAACAGCUUGGGAUAAUGCUUUCUGAUCCUGUGUAAAAAAAAAUACCUGGUUAUUUUGGCAUUGUAGAUAUCUUUAGCAGCCAUUACUUGUUUUCACUGGAGAGUUGUAGACGGCAAAGUCAUUAUGUUCCUCCUGCUGUGCGUGUUCUGUUGCAUUUAGCCUCUCAGGUGGAUGUUUGUGGGUCUGUCAGUCAGAAGUGCAGAGUCCUCGAAGGUUGGAAAAGGACGUUCUGAAGAGCGUUUCUGCUACUUUCUCAAAUUCAGCAGCGAACAACAAUAAGAUUAGCUUUCAGACAGCGACUAAGCAGCACAAUAGCAGCAGCCAACCAGAACUGAGAUGCUGCUGAGCGUCCAUUGAUUUCUGCAGGUUUUGUCUGUCCUUCUGCAGAGCUCCUCCUGUCACACACUCUCUAAGCACCGAUGGCACCUCCAGUCUCCGCCUCACUGCAGAGGGAGCCUCAGAGGAUCCUGCCGGACUCCAGCCUGUCACAAGCUGUUUAGAAAGCGGCGGACGGCGCCAGACUGUAAUCAGCUUCAGGGUCUCCAUCCUGCAACACACUGAUACAGACAAUCCAAUCACCCACAAUGCCUGUCAAAAUGAGGAUCUGGUGGCGCAUCUGACUCUAUGGGUUGUUGUCUUCCUCUGAUGCUUGAGGAAAUAACUCUGCAAAGACGAGCCAAGAGUCAGUAUGAACACAAGAAAAGGGUGGAUAAUAGUUAUCAGUUAUUAACAUUUAUAUCAUUGAAGCAAAAGCUUUUUCUUCUGUCUAAAACUUCUCUUCAGUUGUCGUUUAUCCUUUUCAGCAUCCCUUAAUCUUCAGGUCCUUGUCACAGGCUUUAAUAAACAGAUAAUAAGCGUAUAAUAAGACCUUAUAAUCAAUAAGCAUUAUUAACACAUUACUGCUAAAAAACACUGACAGACCCGUUAAAAAAACACGUUCCUGGUUUAUAUAUCUGUCAUAAGCAUCAAUAGGAUGUUAUUAACAUUAAUAAGACUUUUUAGAGAUUAGUAUUUAGUCACACGCUUGCAGUGUUUGAUUUUAAUAAACUUAAAUAUAACAAUAUAAACUUUUUUUUAUCAUUAUAACUAACAUUUGUUAUUGCUUAUAAGCUCUCAGUGACAAUUUAUAGACUUAACUUUUGAUAAGAUGUGAUAUCUUAUUAAUAAACAUGCUAUUAAUGUUUAUGACAGUUAUAUAAACUGUUUACAAGCUUUUAAUGAGCGCCUAUAAAUGUCUUAUAAGCAGUAAUUGAUGUUUUAAGUAUGCUAUGAUGCAGGUGAAUGUUUAAAAGCAUCUUUUGACUUGUUAGCGUUUUAGUAAUGCUCAUUUUAAGGCCCUUGAUAUGAAGUGUUAUUGUAAAGGAUACAUGAUGACUAGAACUGGUUUAAGACGGAAAAAGCAUCUUAAUUAAAACAAAAUAAAGGCUGUUGUGUGCCGUGUCUUCAGUUAUUGGUCUAAAACAGCUGUAUAACUGCUAAAAACUUUAUAAGACACGAUAAGAUACAGUCUAAGUGGAUGUAAGUCGCGUUCACCAGUCUCUCACUCAGACUCUGCACAGGGUUUCAGUGGAUGCUGUGGAUCUGUCACCCUGAUGUUACAUUUUCUAUUGAUCUACGGAUCACAUGCGGUCCAAACCACAGUGGGGUGAUAUGAACAGAUCAGGGAUCAGCUAUGAUCUGUGACACCACAUGGGUGCAUAUUUGUUUAUAACCUUAAAAAUGCCAUGAGAGUUCACGAACCAUGUAUGUUUCAUUUCGAUACCAGUAAAUGUCAGAUACUGUAUAUGAAACGACUGAAGCGUGUUCAAAUUUCAGCCACACGGGGCAUCAGCAUCUCCACCCAUCCUGCAGUUAAUCAAAGAUAGUUUCCGUCAGCCUACGAAUACGUCAAACUCUGAUGCUCUUAAAGACCCAAACACCUUAAAGCAUAAAGCAAUCAGAAUUUAUUGUCGGUAGUUCAAUAAUAUUUGAGCUGAAAGUCAUUUUGUCAUUUCUUCCCUCUUUGAAAUUCAGCAGAGAUCCACUUUUAGUCAGCACCUCUUGGUCUCAAGGUUGUGGCUGCGUUCUUUCCUGUUGUUUCAUAAAUCAGGGGGUAAUGUGAUUGGCCGAGAUCGAGUCAGAGAGGCGAUUAAUUCUCCCGACUCCUCCAGCAGCACUUAAGGUGGCAUUACCAACACUCCAAAUAUAUUAUUUCAGAGGACUCUCCUCUCGUUAAACGCUGCAUGAAAUAAUGGAGGGAUGCAACAAAGAGCUUCAUGAUUCCUCCUCCUCCUCGAACUCUUUCCUUCAGUUGCUUCCUUUCCGUAUCCACUUAUCAUGCAUGCUCUCUACAAAUGGUUCAAAGUGCCUCUCUGCAGCCCACAUUAGACUCCACUUUAAUGGCUGAUGGUACAUUAUGGUACAUACAGUGUGUGAAUUAGGAGAGCUGAACCACUUCAAGCCAGCGUUAUCAUCUCAGUGUUGCACAGAGAGACGUUUCCUCUCGGGGCUUUCGCACAGAUGAAAAGGAUUUCCCGUCCCCUCGCUCAAGGCC
rnacentral:lncRNA from 1 species